AGAGAGACAGAACACACACACACACAGAGAGAGAGAGAGAGAAAACAUGUUCUAGUCACAUGUGGUCACGGCUGAUGUUUAAAACCCCAGAGUCAGUGGAGAGUAGAUUGGGUCCGGUAUGUGUCAGAUAGUUUAGUGUUGUUUAGUGUGGUGUAGUUUAAUUUAGUGUAGUUCUGGCUCUGGUAUGUGUCAGAUAGUGUAGUGUUGUUUAGUGUGGUGUAGUUUAAUUUAGUGUAGCUCUGGUAUGUGUCGGAUAGUGUAGUGUUGUUUAGUGUGGUGUAGUUUAAUUUAGUGUAGCUCUGGUAUGUGUCGGAUAGUGUAGUGUUGUUUAGUGUGGUGUAGUUUAAUUUAGUGUAGCUCUGGUAUGUGUCAGGUGGUGUAGUUUAAUUUAGUGUAGUUCUGGGCGUCUGAGUGGCCCUGGGAUGGGUUGGGUGGAGUAGGGCGGGCUUACACACAUUACUCACACACUCACACUCACACACACUCAAUACUCUUAUUAGCAGUGCUGCCUGUAAGCUCCCCCAUAUACAGGUGUGUGUGUGUGUGUGUGUGCGUGUGCCGCCUAACCACCAGUCUGGUUUUAGUUAUUUAUUUUAUAUUUGCGUAUGCCAGUCGAAUUGUAAACAAAUACAACAAGGAAACAUAAAAAUUAAACAAAGCCACCUUUAAAAAAAAAAAAGACACACGGAAGCUUCUAGAAGGUUCCCAUUUCCGAGCCCCAGCGGUCAGCGCAGUUGCAGCUCCCUUCAAACAGACCCCAACCUGACAUCAUUCCCUUACUGUGGCUCACCAAGGACACUAUUAAUAAUGGGGUGCAUUUUCUCCUUAUGGGUUGACUGCCAUAUCUUAAUAUAUAUUUAUAAUAUCUGAAUCGGAUUGAUUGCUGAAAAUAAUUACACUAAUACUGUAUGCAUAAUAUGCUGACGAAUUGGCAGAAAAUAAAGUGAAGGCUUCACGGUACCAUGGAGGAACCCUGUAGAAGCGGCUCUGCUGUUCUCUCAAGGUUCUCUAAGGGUUCUCUAAGGGUUCUCUCAAGGUUCUCUAAGGGUUCUCUAAGGGUUCUCUGCUGUUCUCUAAAGGUUCUCUAAGGGUUCUCUGCUGUUCUUUGAGGGUCAGUUCGUUUCAUUUGGUUCAAUGCCAUACUGUCACUGCCGACUGGGUUCCCGUGUAGGUAGCUAGUGGGAGUGAAAUGGGAGUGGGUGAUUUGAGGUGGUGGCCUAUGAGGGCUAUUCUGGUGUGAUUUAAAGUAAUUAGUUUUACGCUUUUUAGCAUCAACUUUACUUUACAGAGGCUGAGACAUGUCAAGCAAACGGUACUUUUGUUAUUUAAAAAAUAUUAUUAUUUAUUUUGUCUUUUGUACUUUUUUAAUUAUUUAUUUUAAAUAUUAUUAUUUAUUUAUUUAUGACUGUCUUCCCUGUGACAAUAAAAGGGGUAACAGAAUGAAGUGAUCACAGAUUGCUAUGAGUAAUUUUUUUUUCAUGUGUGUGAUCCAAUCAAGACUAUGGAGACUGC
ensembl:lncRNA